UGCACUCCAUGUUAUCUGUACUCAGCAGUUCCUUCCUGCUGGGUGUUCAAAAGACAGUGCACUAUCUGGCAUUGUUGGUUUCUUGGCUUUGUGCAUGUUAAACCUGGUUUUUCUAAUGAUACAGUU